CUUUGGACCUUAAUGUAGACCAAUUUGAAAACGGGACCAAAAAUUAAGAAUCUACAUACAUAGUUAGAUUCGGCAUAUCAAAGAACCCCAAUUAUUCAAUUUUUGAUGAAAUCACACAAAGUUCAAUUUUGGACCCUUUGGGCCCCUUAUUCCUAAACUGUUCGGACCAAAACUCCCAAAAUCAAACCCAACCUUCCUUUUAUGGUCAUAAACCUUGUGUUUAAAUUUCAUAGAUUUCUAUUUACUUAUACUAAAGUUAUGGUGCAAAAACCAAAAAUAAUGCUUAUUUGGGCCCCUUUUUGGCCCCUAAUUCAUAAACUGUUGUGGCCUCAACUCCAAAAAUCAAUCCCAACCUUCCUUUUGUGGUCAUAAACCUUGUGUUAAAAUUUCAUUGAUUUCUAUUUACUUAUACUAAAGUUAUUGUGCGAAAACCAAGAAUAAUGCUUAUUUGGGCCCUUUUUUGGCCUUAAUUCCUAAACUGUUGGAACCAAAACUCCCAAAAUCAAUCCCAACCUUCCUUUUGUGGUCAUAAACCUUGUGUCAAAAUUUCAUAGAUUUCUAUUCACUUAAACUAAAGUUAUAGUGCGAAAACCAAGAAAAUGCUUAUUUGGGCCCUUUUUGGCCCCUAAUUCCUAAAAUGUUGGGACCAAAACUCCCAAAAUCAAUCCCAACUUUCCUUUUGUGGUCAUAAACCUUGUGUUAAAAUUUCAUUGAUUUCUAUUCACU
rnacentral:lncRNA from 1 species